rnacentral:piRNA from 1 species
UAAUCUCUUCCUGAACCCUUUG